AAUAAGAGAAUAACAAAUCAAAUUUUUUCUCCUGAUUUUUAGCUUUUUCCUCCUGAAAAAAUUCAAAUUCAACUAAAAAUGCAAAAAAUCAGGAUGAAAAAUAUGAUUUGUCAUUCUCCUGUU
rfam:Gossypium hirsutum cultivar TM-1 chromosome 7, whole genome shotgun sequence